rnacentral:lncRNA from 1 species
AUUCAGAAUCUGAAUUUCCAUUUCGGAUGCCAAAUCAAUUUUAAGGUUAGGUUUGAUGCAUACUCGUACAUGUCUAAAUUAAAUAUACAAUUCCCUAAGUAAAUACCACCACAGA